UAGCACGUCCUCAUCGACGAGCCGACAUGGAGACUGGCACACGCCAGCCAGCUAGUGGCAUGAAGUGGCAAUCACCGAGCCGACUGUCGUACAUUGAGAGAGCUUUCGUUAGGGACGCGACCGCAACGGGUCACGAGCCUUUAUCAUUUGCAACAUCCGAAACCAAUAGUGCGAGCGAGGUGGCCUUGGAAGCACCGGGCACGUAGGGCACCAGCACCACGAGGCAACGCCGCACGAACUAUUAGGCCGCAGCGGAACUCCCUUGGGGGUCCACAGCGAGGCAACCGUGUAUGAAGCACAACUUCCCGUAGUUUGGGUACCAGCAUGCAAGCACUCGUCGAUGGAGCGGAAUGGUUAGAACCGCAAGAAUGAUAGGAUAUCGGCGCCAGUAGUCGGCCGCACAUCGGCGGGGGUCCUGCUGGCAGACACGAGUCCAAGACAACUCAUGCGCUCGCGUAGCCAACUGG
rnacentral:misc_RNA from 1 species